ACCUGGCUGGCUCAGUUGGUAGAGCAUGUGACUCUUGAUCUCAGGGUUGUGAGUUCAAGCCUCAUGUUCAGUG
rnacentral:tRNA from 1 species